CUGAACGUAUCUAAUCGUUCUCUUACUCAAUGGGAUAUUGUGUAUGUAUUGUUUUGCAAUAAGUCUGUGACCGUCUGUGACAUAUGUGUGCCCAUGUUCAGAGUGGCGUUGUAAUUAUGUUUUAAUAUCAUGUAUCGUUCAUGAAUAAUACAGUUAAUUCGUUAUUUCUCGUUCUUUUUUAUAGAUCGGCUUCUUAUGGAAAGCAUAUUGAAGUUUAUUUAGAUGUUAUUAAGUAUCUCCAAGUGGAUGGUGCAUGAUGAUAUGGUUCCUACUGUGCUUCGUUUGUUCUUGCCUUCUUCACGUGGAAACGUCUUAAACAUCAUGAAGAUUAUGAGCAUGAAGGUAAUUUUAAUUCCAUGCUCUGGCAUAAUUUGGACUUUGGCCUGACGCAUCAUCUCGAAACUUUUUGCAGUGAUUUCUUGACAUCUCAACACAUUGCAGUACAUAAAGGAAACAUGAGCUUGCCUUUUUUCUAGUGGUAGUAGACAAUGUAAUAUCUGCAGCUAAAGUCUAAUCUGUCGACUGGCACCAGCACAGAGAUUAUGACCAUGGAGUUAAUUUUGCAUUUUUUGUGGACAUGAUCCUUAACUUGCUGUUAAUGUCUGCAUCCUGCAACUUGUACAUUUCAUUUUCUACGAAUGAGUUAGAAGAGCACCUUGGAUUUGGAUUUCAAUUAAUCUCCAAUAACAUCAUUUUUCCAGAAUUUUCUUAGCUAUUCGUACUUGUUGACUUUGCCACAUUAGAUUCUGCAGUUAAUUAAGAUCGUCGGUGGAGAAGGCAAAGAAGAUCCCGUAGUACAGGGUACAGUGGGUUAUCUGGAAUAGGAGCAA
rnacentral:lncRNA from 1 species